rnacentral:rRNA from 1 species
GGGAACGCGAAGAACCUUACCUACCCUUGACAUCCAGAGAAUCUGUUAGAGAUAGUAAAGUUUCCUUCGGGACAUCUGUAAAGGUGCUGCAGGCGUCGUCAGCUCAGUGUCUGGAGGUGUUGGGUUAAGUCCCGUAACAAGCGCAGCCCUUAUCCUUAGUUGCCACUUGUUAAGGUGGGAACUCUAGGGAGACUGCCGGUGAUAACCAGGAGGAAGGUGGGGAAGACGUCAAGUCAUCAUGGCCCUUAUGGGUAGGGCUACACACGUGCUACAAUGGUCGGUACAAAGGGCAGCGAAAACCGCGAGGUAGAGCAAAUCCCACAAAGCCGAUCCUAGUCCGGAUUGCAGUCUGCAACUUGGAUUCCAGGAGGUGGGAAUCGGUAGUAAUCGCGAAUCAGAAUGUCGCGGUGAAUACGUUCCCGGGUCUUGUACACACCGA